rnacentral:rRNA from 1 species
CCUACGGGAGGCAGCAGUGGGGAAUAUUGGGCAAUGGAGGAAACUCUGACCCAGCGACGCCGCGUGCGGGAUGAAGGCCUUCGGGUUGUAAACCGCUUUCAGUAGGGAAGAAGCGAAAGUGACGGUACCUACAGAAGAAGCACCGGCUAACUAUGUGCCAGCAGCCGCGGUAAUACAUAGGGUGCAAGCGUUGUCCGGAAUUAUUGGGCGUAAAGAGCUCGUAGGUGGUUCGUCACGUCGGAUGUGAAAAUCUGGGGCUCAACCCCAGACCUGCAUUCGAUACGGGCGAUCUAGAGUGUGGUAGGGGAGACUGGAAUUCCUGGUGUAGCGGUGGAAUGCGCAGAUAUCAGGAGGAACACCAAUGGCGAAGGCAGGUCUCUGGGCCAUUACUGACACUGAGGAGCGAAAGCGUGGGGAGCGAACAGGAUUAGAUACCCUGGUAGUCCACGCCGUAAACGGUGGGCACUAGUUGUGGGAACCUUCCACGGUUUCUGCGACGCNGCUACGCAUAAGUAGCCCGCCGUCGGGAGGUACGAGUCGCGAGAAGUUAAACGUAACUAAAGUAGUAAGUUAGUUACGGUCGUUGAGACGUUGCCGACGGACGACCGACGAGGGGAGGUUAGG